rnacentral:rRNA from 1 species
AUGGAGGAGGCGGAGAAAGGGGAGAUAUUGGAGUGGAACGCCAAGCCAAGCUCCAUGGAGGAGGCGGAGAUCUUCGAGAGGAACACCAAGCCGAGCAACGGGUAUCGCCACCACUUUGUCGGUUUCUCCGGCGGCACAGCCUCCUUUGACCCUUCCCUCCCUUACCUGUAUCCUAACAAGGAUGAGGGCAUCACCCAGGUGGAUGCUUGCAAUGGCCUCGUUCUCUACCGCCGUUACAACAGCAGCAGGCAUGAUUACCAUUUUGUUGUGUGCAAUCCCGCCACCGGGUGGUGGGUGGAGGUGCCACCUCAACCUCAAAAGCCGGAGCCAAUGAACAGACUUAACCAUACUGCAGGCCUAGCUUUCGAUCCAGCAGUCUCGUCCCAUUUCCAUGUUCUUUGUUUCGAGCGGACCUUUCCGAAAACUUUGAUCGCAGGAGUGAACAUCUACUCGUCUCGCACAGGAGCCUGGAUUCAUAGAGACAGUGGGAUAGUUGAGAAAGCUACCCUGUUCAGGAGUAAAUGUGUCUUUGUUGGUGGUAUGCUGUACAUCAUGGGUAACGUGGUGGACACCAACGGUGAGUAUGUGCUGGUGGGGGUGGACAUGGAGGGGAAAGUGUGGAAGACUAUCCGUGUGCUGUACGGUUCAAAAUUUGGUACUAUUGGAUUGUCGCAGGGGUGCUUACACUAUGUUGUAGCUUCUGUCAAUAAUAACAAUGAAAUCCUAGUUUCUGAGAUAGCACUCUGGUGCCUCAAGGAUUGGGACAGUAAAGAAUGGGUCCUGAAGCAUACUGCCAGCAUUGAUACGCUUAUGAGCAUGACUGGGGAGAAGUACAGGGUGGUUGAGAUUCAUCCAGAUUGUGACACAAUUUUCCUGGCUCAGUGUGGAGGUGAUACCUUGAUAUCAUAUGACAUGUGGCAUCAGAAAGUUGGCUGUAUCAUUAAUCUUGAGAGAAGCAGUGUGCACAGAUUUCUACCCUAUGUUCCUCUGUUCUCAGAGCCAUUAGCAGAUGCUGAGGGGUAG